rnacentral:rRNA from 1 species
UACGGAGGGUGCAAGCGUUAUCCGGAUUCACUGGGUUUAAAGGGUGCGUAGGCGGACAGGUAAGUCAGUGGUGAAAUCUCUGAGCUUAACUCAGAAACUGCCGUUGAUACUAUCUGUCUUGAAUAUCCUGGAGGUAAGCGGAAUAUGUCAUGUAGCGGUGAAAUGCUUAGAUAUGACAUAGAACACCGAUAGCGAAGGCAGCUUACUACAGGAUGAUUGACGCUGAGGCACGAAAGCGUGGGGAGCAAACAGG